GAGGUCAGAUUUGAACUCAGGACUUCAGGGCCCAUGCUCUAUCCACUGUGCCACCUAACUGCCCCCUACUGUUGGUGAUUUGAAUUGUCUCAGCCAUAUCUCCUGCCCAAGUGUGUGACUCUCUACUAGAGUACAGCAAGAAUGUGCUCGCACUUUCCACUGUUGCUGUGUGUAACUGUGGUUCUGGAAGAUGUUGAGACUCUGAGGAAAUACAAAAGAGAAGUGUAUUUGUAAAGCUGUAGCAUCCUCCUACCAAAGGAUUUGGAGCAGCUGAGAUGAAACCUGCUCAAUGGGAAGGAAAGCUUUCAUCUGCUUGGAUCCACCAGCUAAAGAGCCCCUAUGCCCUAAAGAGACAAUAUGACUAUUCUCUCGCUGUGAAAAAGGAGUCUCAAAAGAGGAUAAAAGCAUGAAUCCAGCUUUUCCUCCUAAUAGCAGUUUCUAUCUGAGGAGAAGAUAGAUGAAGUGUCUCCGAAGGCUACAUGGCCUCUUGCCCAUUGUUCCACUCUGUCAUGCUCAAGGAGAUCCCUUCACAGGAUAGAACUGAGGAUGGUGACUAGAAAGAAAGUCACACCUAAUGGAGAAGAGAAGUACCUGGAAAAGACUCACUUCCAAAGGUCAUUGAUACAAUGAUUCAUCACAAUUCCAAAGGACUUAUGAUGACAAAGGCUAUGCACCUCAGAUAGAGAACUGAUGGACUCAGAGGAGAGA